rnacentral:rRNA from 1 species
AAAAACAUGGCCUUUUGAGAAUAAUUUAAGGUUUGGCCUGCCCACUGAGUUUUAAAUGGCCGCAGUAUCUUGACUGUGCAAAGGUAGCAUAAUCAUUAGUUUUUUAAUUGAAAGCUUGUAUGAAAGGUCGGAUGAGAAAAUGACUGUCUCUAUAAAAAUUUAUUAGAACUUUAUUUUUAAGUAAAAAAGCUUAAAUAAUAAUGGAAGACGAGAAGACCCUAUAGAGUUUUAUAUUUAUAUAAUUUGAAAUUUUUAGUAUUUUAACUUUUUUAUUAUUAUAUUAUUUAGUUGGGGUGAUUAAGAAAUUAAAUAAACUUUCUUUUUAUUUAUACAUUUAUUUAUGAUAGAAUGAUCCUUAUUUUAAGAUUAUAAGAUUAAAUUACCUUAGGGAUAACAGCGUAAUUUUUUUUGAGAGCUCAAAUCGAAAGAAAAGAUUGCGACCUCGAUGUUGGAUUAAAGUAAAUUUUUGGUGUAGAAGCUAAAAAAAUUAGGUCUGUUCGACCUUUAAAACUUUACUUGAUCUGAGUU